rnacentral:rRNA from 1 species
GUUCCCCUUCGGGGGACAGGGUGACAGGUGGUGCAUGGUUGUCGUCAGCUCGUGUCGUGAGAUGUUGGGUUAAGUCCCGCAACGAGCGCAACCCUGACCUUAGUUGCCAGCAUUCAGUUGGGCACUCUAAGGUGACUGCCGGCUAAAAGUCGGAGGAAGGUGGGGAUGACGUCAAAUCAUCAUGCCCCUUAUGACCUGGGCUACACACGUGCUACAAUGGGCGGUACAAAGGGUCGCGAACCCGCGAGGGGGAGCCAAUCCCAAAAAGCCGCUCUCAGUUCGGAUUGCAGGCUGCAACUCGCCUGCGUGAAGUCGGAAUCGCUAGUGAUCGUGGAUCAGAAUGUCACGGUGAAUACGUUCCCGGGUCUU